AGAGUUUGAUCCUGGCUCAGGAUGAACGCUAGCGACAGGCUUAACACAUGCAAGUCGAGGGGCAGCGAGGGAGUGGCAACACUUCUGUCGGCGACCGGCGCACGGGUGAGUAACGCGUAUGCAACCUGCCCUUCACAGGGGGAUAACCGGGAGAAAUUCCGACUAAUACCGCAUACGUCCCCUGAGGGCAUCCCCUGGGGAUGAAAGAAUUAUCGGUGAAGGAUGGGCAUGCGUGAUAUUAGGUAGUUGGCGGGGCAACGGCCACCAAGCCCACGAUAUCUAGGGGUUCUGAGAGGAAGGUCCCCCACAUUCGGUACUGAGACACGGACCAAAACGUCCUACGGGAGGCA
rnacentral:rRNA from 1 species